AGCAGGGGUUUCACGUGCUCAGGGACUCCACCUUCACCAUCAGCUGCUCCAUCCAGCCACAGUACCCAGGAGGCUCCUUCCAGCUCACCUUCACCUCCUCCACCUCAGAUCACACCUACACCAAGCCAGCUGUCAAUCACUCCGCCCACUUCCUGUUUCCUGCUGCAGAGCCCGCCCACCAAGGAAGCUACAGCUGUGUUUAUCACGUCUAUGUUUUUUCUCACGACUUCUUCUCUGAGAGCCGUCUGAUCUCUCUCACUGUCGCAGAUCUAAGGCCUCUUAUCAUCAGAGCGGUCGUCCUGCCGCUGAUUCUGCUGUUGGCGAACAUUGGCCUUUACUUCUACUAUAAGGCCACCAGAGGGCAGAAGCCGGGCAGACGGGAGAACACUGAGCCGGUUUAUUAUAACCUGGGUGUUCCUGCAGCUGAAGGAGGGCCGACUGAAGAGGAAGGAGCUCAGGGAGCAGAGUAGCACCUCCAAGGAGCUCAUCUCACAUCCAGAUGGAUUUAUAACACACAACCCACCAACAGCUCAUUUUAUAUGAAUGUUCCCUUUAAACAAGAAGGCUGGAUU